rnacentral:rRNA from 1 species
UACGUAGGUGACAAGCGUUGUCCGGAUUUACUGGGCGUAAGGAGCGCGCAGGCGGUCGUCAAGUCGAGUGUGAAAGCCCCCGGCUCAACUGGGGAGGGUCAUUCGAUACUGAUCGACUCGAAGGCAGGAGAGGGUAGUGGAAUUCCCGGUGUAGUGGUGAAAUGCGUAGAUAUCGGGAGGAACACCAGUGGCGAAGGCGACUACCUGGCCUGUUCUUGACGCUGAGGCGCGAAAGCUAGGGGAGCAAACGGG